UAAGUGAUGAUAACCCAAAUAGAAAUUUUUUUUUGAUUCCUUUCGAUUCUCUGUUCUAGAGCGUUGGGGGAUACUCUGUGAUUCUAUAUUCAUAGUUACUCUGAUU
rfam:Dictyostelium discoideum AX4 chromosome 3, whole genome shotgun sequence.